rnacentral:rRNA from 1 species
UUUCUCGAACUUAGAAGAGCUAAUUAUUUAUUUAUUUUAUUGUGAAAUAAAUAUUUAAAAUUGGUAGUUUGAAAUGAAACGUUAUUCGUUUCUAAAUAUAUCUAGUUUUUUUGGAAAUAAAUUUAAUUUAGUAUUUUUAAAGUAACUUUUUAAUUUAUUAAUAGUUUAUUUGAUUAAUACUAUGUUCUAGGGGAAGAACUUUAGAACAAAGUUUUAUAAAUUAAUAAAAUUUUACAGUAUAAAUAGGAUUAGAAAUUUCUAUUUUUAUAAUUUUGUUAUAAUUUUUAUUGUUUUGUUGUAAUUUGUAUUAGUUUUAAGUUUUUUACUAAAAGGUAAUUUUUAAUAAAGUUAAUUUAGUAAUAAUGAUUGAAUUAGUAUAUAAUAUAUUUGUUUAUAUAUAAAAAUUAUUUAAGGUUGGUAAAAGGAAUUCGGCAAAUGAUUUUUCACCUGUUUAUUAAAAACAUGUCCUUUUGAAUUUAAUUUAAGGUCUAGUCUGCCCACUGAGGUAUUAAAUGGCCGCGGUAAUUU